GUCCCCGGUGGCGCAGGCGGCCUCCCAGAAGGACCACAGAGGUGAAAGAACCCCACCAAGCCCCACCCCUCCUCCCGCCCACCGAGCGGCCUCACCCACGCGGGUGAACAUCACCAACUCGACUAGCUUCGGGAGCCGUUGCCUGCCCUACGCUCAGCGCAACACACCGCAGACAUGCGACGGCCCUCGCCGGGACGGCAAUCCCAGUGCGAGGGCCUGACCACCGAGGAAGAAGAGAGCUUCCCG
rnacentral:ncRNA from 1 species